rnacentral:rRNA from 1 species
UAGGGAAUCUUCCACAAUGGACGCAAGUCUGAUGGAGCAACGCCGCGUGAGUGAAGAAGGUUUUCGGACCGUAAAGCUCUGUUGUUGGUGAAGAAGGAUAGAGGUAGUAACUGGCCUUUAUUUGACGGUAAUCAACCAGAAAGUCACGGCUAACUACGUGCCAGCAGCCGCGGUAAUACGUAGGUGGCAAGCGUUGUCCGGAUUUAUUGGGCGUAAAGCGAGCGCAGGCGGAAGAAUAAGUCUGAUGUGAAAGCCCUCGGCUUAACCG